rnacentral:tRNA from 3 species
GAAUCAUUAGCUCAGUCGGUAGAGCACUUGACUUUUAAUCAAGGUGUCCGGGGUUCGAAUCCCCGAUGGUUCACCA